UUCUGUGUACAUGAAGUAAUCUUGCUAUUUAAAAGCUUGUCACUUCCUCGUGAAAGCUUUGCUUACAAUUUGCCAAAAUGCCACCAUCACUCAACACCUGCGCUCGUGGAACACAAGUUGGAUGCACACUCACCUCUAGGGGAGAAACUCGUGGCACCAUGCCAUAGCAUGGCAAAGAUUCUCAGACAGUAGCUUUGUGGCGUGCGAGGAGGACAGUAGCUUUGUGGCGAGGAGCGAGGAUGCGUCAUUCUCACCCGGGAAGAGAAGAGCGCAGAGUUCACACGUACGGUAGCGGUGCAGGUGUGCAGCGGGAGGCUCCGUCUGUGGAGAGUGAUCAGGCGUAGCGGGGAGUAUAGCAUGCCUUGCAGGAGGCUGAAGGCUAAUGGCAGGGCCCUCCCAUGUCUGUGAUGGAGGCGGGAGCGGAGACUGACUGAUUGCCAUGGGUAGCAGAUGUCAUGAGAAGAAGGCAUGAAUACAGGACAUCAUGAGAUGGUGACAGGAAGUGAAUUGAGUUGGCGAGAAUCAUCUGGAAAAGACCUCGGGCCGGAAUCAAACCCAGGUCUCAGGUUAUGAAGUUCCCAUAACUGCAUAAGGGGUGAGCUGGCAAAACAAGAGGUGGGUGAAGUGUGAGACAAGGAAGUAGGAAGUAUUCUCAUUCAUUCUGGACUCUGCUGCUAGCAACAUUACUCAGGCUGAAGUUGUUG